rnacentral:misc_RNA from 1 species
UCCGACAAUCAGAAAAACGAUGGCCGGCGCGACCGCAAGCCGCUUCGCGAGCGUUGCGGAAGCCGCGAGUGCCGUAAGCACAAGAAGGAAGGUCAGGAAUGUCGUUACCAUGGAGGGAUCAUAUGGCGCUGGCCGCGAUAUUGACCAUCAAGGCCACCAGCGCGGUGUUGAAGACAAACGAUACGACACCGUGGACCGUUGCAGUCCGGC